UAAAGAAAGCGUAAUAGCUCACUGGUCGAGUCGGCCUGCGCGGAAGAUGUAACGGGGCUAAACCAUGCACCGAAGCUGCGGCAGCGACACUAUGUGUUGUUGGGUCGGGGAGCGUUCUGUACGCCUGCGCAGGUGUCCUGUUAGGUAUGCUGGAGGUAUCAGAAGUUCGAGUGCUGACAUAAGUCACGAUAAAGCGGGUGAAAAGCCCGCUCGCCGGAAGAC
rnacentral:rRNA from 1 species